GUGGGGAAUAUUGGACAAUGGGCGAAAGCCUGAUCCAGCCAUGCCGCGUGAGUGAUGAAGGCCUUAGGGUUGUAAAGCUCUUUCAGUAGGGAAGAUAAUGACGGUACCCACAGAAGAAGCCCCGGCUAACUUCGUGCCAGCAGCCGCGGUAAUACGAAGGGGGCUAGCGUUGUUCGGAUUUACUGGGCGUAAAGCGCACGUAGGCGGAUCGUUAAGUCGGGGGUGAAAUCCUGGAGCUCAACUCCAGAACUGCCUUCGAUACUGGCGAUAUUGAGUCCGGAAGAGGUGAGUGGAACUCCUAGUGUAGAGGUGGAAUUCGUAGAUAUUAGGAAGAACACCAGUGGCGAAGGCGGCUCACUGGUCCGGUACUGACGCUGAGGUGCGAAAGCGUGGGGAGCAAACAGGAUUAGAAACCCGAGUAGUCC
rnacentral:rRNA from 1 species